GGACACCUCCUGUACCCAAAGGGGCAGGGAGCAUGACCACCUGACAUACAGUCUGUUCCACAUGUUUGGGUCAGUCUGUAUAUUAAAUAUCAGUACAAUUUAAACUCUAUCUUAUUUUUAGAGUUACAAUAUAGAAGUGGUUGUUGUUUUUCCCAUCUAGUGGAUUUUUUGUGGACCCCUUGAUGCCAUUCAUUAGAGACCACUGGGGAGCCCACGAGCCUUUGGAGUCAAAAGAAAGAAAAAACAAAGAACUUAGAAGACUGACUUAACCUCUCUGAGCUUCAUUUUAUUCUUCUUUAAGAUGGACAAGACCUCUCCCUGUCCUCUAUCCUCUAUAGAGAUGGAGAAGAAGCAAGGUGUGGACGCUGGUAGAAUCUCCAAGAAAGAGCCAAGUACUCCCUCCGCCUUCCAUGGUGGUCCCCUUUCUGACCCUUUGGCUCCUAAUGGAGAGAGGGCAUGGUGAUGAUCUCCCUGGGAAGUAUUGAGAUCUGAGACUAGAAGAGAUCCAUGCUCAGCUUCAGGUCUGGAUGCACCUGCCAGAUGCUGAGUCCGAAAGAGCUCCUCAGCCCUACACAGCAUGAGAUAGCUGAUUGUGGUCUCCCAAAUCUCCAUCUUCUUGAUGUGGCAAGAUUGAAAGUGGUACUGGAAGUAGUGAUAUUUUUCAACAACUCCUGAAGGCUCAGUUGAAAGCUUGAUUCUCCAGUCCUUUCAGUUAUGUUGCCCUCAAGAGACUGGAUGAGGCUCACUCACCAUGGAGAAGGCAACCUGCUUUAUUCAGUCCACCAAUCCAAAUGUUUGUCUCAUCCAGAAGCUACCCUUACAGACACACCCAAAAUAAUGUUUAACCAACUAUCUGGGUAUCUCAUGGUCCAUUCAAGUUGACAGAUAAAAUUAACCAUCACACUAUAUCAUUAAAUUAAAUGUGCAUUUAUUUAAAGAAAACCAAGUGUUUGACACCAUGUAAUUGACUUUAUAUAACCUUAAUUUGAACUCAGAAGGACUUCCUGAUAAUGCAAGAAAAUAGAAAUCUAUUUAUUAGUGACUGGUUCUAUCUAUAAGUCCAAGCUACGGAGAAAAUUUAAAAAAUAAAGAAGCU
rnacentral:lncRNA from 1 species